AUGGCGACCGGCGUACGGGUGAGUAACGCGUAUCCAACCUGCCCUUUACUAUGGGACAGCCCGUCGAAAGGCGGAUUAAUACCGUAUGUUGUCAUGUUGAUGCAUAUUUUCAUGACCAAAGGCUUCGGCCGGUAAAGGAUGGGGAUGCGUCUGAUUAGCUUGCCGGCGGGGUGACGGCCCACCGGGGCGACGAUCAGUAGGGGUUCUGAGAGGAAGGUCCCCCACAUUGGAACUGAGACACGGUCCAAACUCCUACGGGAGGCAGCAG
rnacentral:rRNA from 1 species